rnacentral:rRNA from 1 species
GAUGAACGCUGGCGGCGUGCCUAAUACAUGCAAGUCGAGCGAACAGAUAAGGAGCUUGCUCCUUUGACGUUAGCGGCGGACGGGUGAGUAACACGUGGGUAACCUACCUAUAAGACUGGGAUAACUUCGGGAAACCGGAGCUAAUGCCGGAUAAUAUUUCGAACCGCAUGGUUCGAUAGUGAAAGAUGGUUUUGCUAUCACUUAUAGAUGGACCCGCGCCGUAUUAGCUAGUUGGUAAGGUAACGGCUUACCAAGGCGACGAUACGUAGCCGACCUGAGAGGGUGAUCGGCCACACUGGAACUGAGACACGGUCCAGACUCCUACGGGAGGCAGCAGUAGGGAAUCUUCCGCAAUGGGCGAAAGCCUGACGGAGCAACGCCGCGUGAGUGAUGAAGGUCUUCGGAUCGUAAAACUCUGUUAUUAGGGAAGAACAUACGUGUAAGUAACUGUGCACGUCUUGACGGUACCUAAUCAGAAAGCCACGGCUAACUACGUG